CGGGGCGUGGCGCAGCCUGGUAGCGCGCUUGUUUUGGGAACAAGAGGCCCCCGGUUCGAGUCCGGGCGCCCCGACCA
rnacentral:tRNA from 2 species